CACAUGCAAGUCGAACGUGAGAGAGUAGCAAUAUUCUUGAAAGUGGCGCACGGGUGAGUAAUACGUAGGUGACCUGCCUUGAAGUGGGGGAUAACAGUUGGAAACGACUGCUAAUACCGCAUAUUGCCGGGCUGUCGGGAGACGGACUGGUGAAAACUCUGGUGCUUCAAGAGGGGCCUACGGCCGAUUAGCUAGUUGGCGGGGUAAGAGCCCACCAAGGCGACGAUCGGUAGCUGGUCUGAGAGGACGAUCAGCCACACGGGAACUGAGACACGGUCCCGACUCCUACGGGGGGCAGCAGUGAGGAAUAUUGGGCAAUGGGCGCAAGCCUGACCCAGCAACGCCGCGUGGAGGAAGACGGCCUUCGGGUUGUAAACUCCUUUUACGGGGGAAGAGGAAGGACGGUACCCCGAGAAUAAGUCACGGCUAACUACGUGCCAGCAGCCGCGGUAAUACGUAGGUGACAAGCGUUAUCCGGAAUUACUGGGCGUAAAGCGCACGCAGGCGGCGCAUUAAGUCUGACGUGAAAUCUCCUGGCUUAACUGGGAGGGGUCGUUGGAGACUGAUGUGCUUGAGGCGAUGAGAGGGGUGUAGAAUUCCCGGUGUAGUGGUGGAAUGCGUAGAUAUCGGGAGGAAUACCAGUGGCGAAAGCGACACCCUGGCAUUAGCCUGACGCUCAUGUGCGAAGGCGUGGGGAGCGAACGGGAUUAGAUACCCCGGUAGUCCACGCGGUAAACGAUGAAUACUAGGUGUGGGUGGAGUGAAAUCCAU
rnacentral:rRNA from 1 species